rnacentral:rRNA from 1 species
UACAGAGGGGGCAAGCGUUGUUCGGAAUUACUGGGCGUAAAGGGCGCGUAGGCGGCCUGUUAAGUCGAACGUGAAAUCCCCGGGCUCAACCCGGGAACUGCGUCCGAUACUGGCAGGCUUGAAUCCGGGAGAGGGAUGCGGAAUUCCAGGUGUAGCGGUGAAAUGCGUAGAUAUCUGGAGGAACACCGGUGGCGAAGGCGGCAUCCUGGACCGGCAUGACGCUGAGGCGCGAAAGCCAGGGGAG